AGUGUUGCAGUGAAAGACAAUGAAGAGGGAGCAGCACCGAGGUUCCCAGGUACCCAGUGAAAUCACUGAGCGCAGGACUACGUUGGGGGACCCCAGACCACGGCAAGCCACAGUGGCAGUGAUAACAGUGGCAGAGAUGAGGGUGGUAGAGGUGGCAGCAAGCGGCCAGCGAUGGCAGAGAUAACAGCGGCGGCAAGCGGCAAGCCGUGGCAGAGAUAGCAGCGGUAGUGAGCCAGCUGGAGGGGCAGCAGCAGCAGCUAGGGCAUGGCUUGAUGCCCUGCCCCCUCACCCCCACCACAGUGGUGGAUAGACCCAUGUGAACGCACCUCUGAACUCCGGGUCUUUGCUGACUAAGGACAACCAACUGCUUUCACAGUUUGAAUCACUGGAGUGUACUUCUGUUCAUGUCACCUAUGCCAAACAACCAUAGGAGGCCAGAACCCGAUCCAGCCUUUCUGGCUAUAAUAAACUGCUGCAUCAAUGACCACCCUCUGGCCUAUGCCAUGUCUAGUAGAAGGAAUAUGCAGUGCUGGGGGACUGGGCAGGUCCCAAUCCUGCAAUGAACACCUGCACGAACACCAUUGACGUCAAAGGGGCUCCAUGCAGAUGCAAGGCAGGGAAGCACCCCCAUGGAACUCACUGCAGGAGUGGUGCCUUAGGGCUUGUCUACACAGUGCUUCAGUCUGUACUAGCGGGGUAUAAAUUCUAGUGUGCACUAGUGUGUUGCACACUAAUAGGCCCAGGUGGACCCUGCUGGCGCACACUAAAAGUUCCCUAAUCUGCAUUAAUAUAGUCCCAUUUCAAACACAUUGUUUAGUGUGCACUAGACUGUGUCCAGUACCUGCUGUCUUCAUGUAAUUUUUGCCAACAUGCUAUUUGCUUUUAUCAAAAAGUGAAUGCCCUGUCCAAUCAUUUAUUCUGAAUCUCUCCUACAAAUUAUGAAAGUAGGGUUUUAAUUUAAAUGAAUGCAUAUAUGUAAAAUGUAACAAAGCCUCUGACUUCCUUUUUUUUUUUUAAUGCCUUUACUAUAUGACAGAUUAUUGGGAGCGCAGCAAUAACUAAAUUAGGGAAAUACAACCAGCACCACUCAGAUGUGUGCUUGAGGGUAGGUUAAAACCGUGAGAUCUGGAUCCAAAUGGUCCACCCACAAAAGAUCAAAGGGCUUCCACUGGAAAAGGGCUUGUUUGUAAUACUCCUGCCUCACUGUCCUGUUAAUGCUACCUUGUGCUCUCUGAUCCCCAUGGUAAACCCUAGCACUCUGUAGCAGUGGGUCCCACAGCUAUAGAGCCUUGGAUCCAAACUUGGUGGGUCCUUGGCCCUUUCCCAGCCCAGGUCCUGGAUUCAUGGAUCUUCCAUUCAUCCACCCCAGCUUUGGUCAAUCUGUACAUAGAAAACACACAGUGGUGGGGUAUGUGCUUAUGAAAGGAGUGACUGUAUAGUCCCAGCUAGAAUUUCUAAGGGCUGAUGGCUCCCCAUAGUCUCUGUUUGUCCUGGAAGAGCUACGCUGAAGGUUAGCAGACUUAGACCACGUGAAGUUUGGGGGAGAAAAAACAAAUGUUCCAGAUGUUCAGUGCACUGAUUCCUCUUCCUUUCAGUUAAACACUUUUGAAAUGCCAAGGAGAUGUGGAGUGGACCACAGCCUACUUACCUUGUUAGCAAUCACCAAAUUCACCAGUCCUGUUGCUGAUUGAAUGAGAGAUUCAGCCUCUUUGUUGCUCAGUGCAAUGUAAGAUGUUUCCUGUGCAUCACUGCAUUCCUUUGGAUUUAAGAUCUUAAAGUGCAGCUGGGCAGAAGAUGGGUCCUUCAAAAACCAUCAAGUUAGUCCAUAAUAAUAAUUAUAAACGAAGUACCUGUGGGCAGC